rnacentral:ncRNA from 1 species
AGCACACAGAGCAGGCAUGGUGCUCGAAGCGGCGCAAAGCGCCAGAGCAUAAUUGGGAACGGGGAAGGGCGGACCUGAAUGCGGCGCCCAAAGCCCGGCCGCCCCCGCGACUGUAAGCGGUGAGGGGCUCCGAUCCGCCACUGGCCGUCAGGCCUGGGAAGGCCGGGGACCGGUUUCGAACCGCGAGCCAGGAGACCGGCCCUGCAGUUUUUAACGCU